GCAGUCGAGCGGAGUGAUAGUGCUUGCACUAUCACUUAGCGGCGGACGGGUGAGUAAUGCUUAGGAAUCUGCCUAUUAGUGGGGGACAACAUUUCGAAAGGAAUGCUAAUACCGCAUACGUCCUACGGGAGAAAGCAGGGGAUCUUCGGACCUUGCGCUAAUAGAUGAGCCUAAGUCGGAUUAGCUAGUUGGUGGGGUAAAGGCCUACCAAGGCGACGAUCUGUAGCGGGUCUGAGAGGAUGAUCCGCCACACUGGGACUGAGACACGGCCCAGACUCCUACGGGAGGCAGCAGUGGGGAAUAUUGGACAAUGGGCGCAAGCCUGAUCCAGCCAUGCCGCGUGUGUGAAGAAGGCCUUAUGGUUGUAAAGCACUUUAAGCGAGGAGGAGGCUACUUUAGUUAAUACCUAGAGAUAGUGGACGUUACUCGCAGAAUAAGCACCGGCUAACUCUGUGCCAGCAGCCGCGGUAAUACAGAGGGUGCAAGCGUUAAUCGGAUUUACUGGGCGUAAAGCGCGCGUAGGCGGCUAAUUAAGUCAAAUGUGAAAUCCCCGAGCUUAACUUGGGAAUUGCAUUCGAUACUGGUUAGCUAGAGUGUGGGAGAGGAUGGUAGAAUUUCCAGGUGUAGCGGUGAAAUGCGUAGAGAUCUGGAGGAAUACCGAUGGCGAAGGCAGCCAUCUGGCCUAACACUGACGCUGAGGUGCGAAAGCAUGGGGAGCAAACAGGAUUAGAUACCCUGGUAGUCCAUGCCGUAAACGAUGUCUACUAGCCGUUGGGGCCUUUGAGGCUUUAGUGGCGCAGCUAACGCGAUAAGUAGACCGCCUGGGGAGUACGGUCGCAAGACUAAAACUCAAAUGAAUUGACGGGGGCCCGCACAAGCGGUGGAGCAUGUGGUUUAAUUCGAUGCAACGCGAAGAACCUUACCUGGCCUUGACAUAGUAAGAACUUUCCAGAGAUGGAUUGGUGCCUUCGGGAACUUACAUACAGGUGCUGCAUGGCUGUCGUCAGCUCGUGUCGUGAGAUGUUGGGUUAAGUCCCGCAACGAGCGCAACCCUUUUCCUUAUUUGCCAGCGAGUAAUGUCGGGAACUUUAAGGAUACUGCCA
rnacentral:rRNA from 1 species